CCUACGGGAGGCAGCAGUGGGGAAUUUUGGACAAUGGGCGCAAGCCUGAUCCAGCAAUGCCGCGUGAGUGAAGAAGGCCUUCGGGUUGUAAAGCUCUUUUGUCAGGGAAGAAAAGGUGCGCUCUAACAUAGCGUACUGAUGACGGUACCUGAAGAAUAAGCACCGGCUAACUACGUGCCAGCAGCCGCGGUAAUACGUAGGGUGCAAGCGUUAAUCGGAAUUACUGGGCGUAAAGCGUGCGCAGGCGGUUUUAUAAGUCUGAUGUGAAAUCCCCGGGCUCAACCUGGGAACUGCAUUGGAGACUGUAAGGCUAGAGUGUGUCAGAGGGGGGUAGAAUUCCACGUGUAGCAGUGAAAUGCGUAGAUAUGUGGAGGAAUACCGAUGGCGAAGGCAGCCCCCUGGGAUAACACUGACGCUCAUGCACGAAAGCGUGGGGAGCAAACAGGAUUAGAUACCCUGGUAGUCCACGCCCUAAACGAUGUCUACUAGUUGUCGGGACUUAAUUGUCUUGGUAACGCAGCUAACGCGUGAAGUAGACCGCCUGGGGAGUACGGUCGCAAGAUUAAAACNCAAAGGAAUUGACGG
rnacentral:rRNA from 1 species